rnacentral:rRNA from 1 species
AUUGAACGCUGGCGGCAGGCCUAACACAUGCAAGUCGAGCGGAUGAAGGGUGCUUGCUCCUGGUUUCAGCGGCGGACGGGUGAGUAAUGCCUAGGAAUCUGCCUGGUAGUGGGGGAUAACGUCCGGAAACGGGCGCUAAUACCGCAUACGUCCUGAGGGAGCAAGUGGGGGAUCUUCGGACCUCACGCUAUCAGAUGAGCCUAGGUCGGAUUAGCUAGUUGGUGGGGUAAAGGCCUACCAAGGCGACGAUCCGUAACUGGUCUGAGAGGAUGAUCAGUCACACUGGAACUGAGACACGGUCCAGACUCCUACGGGAGGCAGCAGUGGGGAAUAUUGGACAAUGGGCGAAAGCCUGAUCCAGCCAUGCCGCGUGUGUGAAGAAGGUCUUCGGAUUGUAAAGCACUUUAAGUUGGGAGGAAGGGCAGUAAGUUAAUACCUUGCUGUUUUGACGUUACCAACAGAAUAAGCACCGGCUAACUUCGUG